GGGGUUGCUUUGGAUCCGUUUAUCUUGCCAUGUGGUAGAUCAUGAUGGAUUUCGAGGCAUCUUUGCGAGUCUACUCCUCAAAACUUGGGGUGGAUAAGGUGCCAUUAUGGGCCACGAUGCUUGGCAUUUCAGAACUAGACAAGUGGUGUGCUCUAAUUGCUCAAAGUAGGGCAUAAGUCACUUGAGUCCUAUAUAAAUACACCUUUCUGUCAGGCAAAUCUGUCAACAAACAUUCUUUCUUUCCAUUGUCCUGUACUUAUGGAGCUAUCAUCAUGGACUAUGAAAGAGGCC
rnacentral:lncRNA from 1 species